GUGGGGAAUAUUGGACAAUGGGCGAAAGCCUGAUCCAGCCAUGCCGCGUGUGUGAAGAAGGUCUUCGGAUUGUAAAGCACUUUAAGUUGGGAGGAAGGGCAGUAAGUUAAUACCUUGCUGUUUUGACGUUACCGACAGAAUAAGCACCGGCUAACUUCGUGCCAGCAGCCGCGGUAAUACGAAGGGUGCAAGCGUUAAUCGGAAUUACUGGGCGUAAAGCGCGCGUAGGUGGUUUUGUAAGUUGGAGGUGAAAUCCCCGGGUUCAACCUGGGAACUGCCUCCAAAACUGCAUGACUAGAGUACGGUAGAGGGUAGUGGAAUUUCCUGUGUAGCGGUGAAAUGCGUAGAUAUAGGAAGGAACACCAGUGGCGAAGGCGACUACCUGGACUGAUACUGACACUGAGGUGCGAAAGCGUGGGGAGCAAACAGGAUUAGAAACCCUGGUAGUCC
rnacentral:rRNA from 1 species